rnacentral:rRNA from 1 species
UACGGAGGGGGUUAGCGUUGUUCGGAAUUACUGGGCGUAAAGCGUACGUAGGCGGAUUAGUAAGUUGGGGGUGAAAUCCCGGGGCUCAACCUCGGAACUGCCUUCGAUACUGGCGAUCUUGAGUCCGGGAGAGGUGAGUGGAACUCCGAGUGUAGAGGUGAAAUUCGUAGAUAUUCGGAAGAACACCAGUGGCGAAGGCGGCUCACUGGCCCGGUACUGACGCUGAUAUGCGAAAGCGUGGGGAGCAAACAGG